rnacentral:rRNA from 1 species
AAAUGCUAGGCAGCAGCCAAGGGAAAUCCUCACGGAGGAACUUAUGGCAUGGCGCAAUGCUUCCAAGAAAUAAACUCUAGUUGUUGAUGGUGACCGUACCAAAACCGACACAGGUGGAUAAGAAGAAGAUUCUAAGGCGCGCGAGAGAACCCUCGUUAAGGAACUCGGCAAAUUAUCCCUGUAACUUCGGGAGAAGGGGAACCACUGAUUGUGAUUAUCUUCGCGAUAUGAGCAUUCGGUGGUCGAAGAGAAAUGGCUCAGGCGACUGUUUAACAAAAACACAGCACUAUGCAAAGACGACCAAGUCGAAGUAUAUGGUGUGAUGCCUGCCCAAUGCCAAAAGGUCAUAAGGAGGUGUUAGUUCUUCGGAACGAAGCACUGAAUUGAAGCCCUGGUGAAUGGCGGCCGUAACAAUAACGGUCCUAAGGUAGCGAAAUUCCUUGUCGGGUAAGUUCCGACCUGCACGAAUGGUAUAACGAUCUGAGCGCUGUCUCAACGAGGGACUCGGUGAAAUUGUAGUAGCGGUGGAGAUGCCGUUUACCCGCAACAAGACGGAAAGACCCCGUGAACCUUUACUGUACUCUGAUAUUGGCUCUUGAUUUAUCAUGUGUAGGAUAGCCAGGAGGCUUUGUAGUCCCCUCGUCAGGGGGGAUGGAGCCAACGUUGAAAUACUGGCCUUGAUAAAUCGGGAAUCUAACGAGAUCCUCUGAAUCGAGGAUUCGGACAUUGUCAGACGGGCAGUUUUACUGGGGCGGUAUCCUCCUAAAGAGUAACGGAGGAGUCCAAAGCUCGCCUCAUCGUGGUUGGCAAUCACGAGUCGAGCGUAAAGGUAUAAGGCAAGUUGACUGUGAGACCAACAAGUCGAACAGAUACGAAAGUAGGGCUUAGUGAUCCGGCGGUGGAAAGUGGAAUCGCCGUCGCUCAACGGAUAAAAGGUACUCCGGGAUAACAGGCUUAUCGCCACCAAGAGUUCAUAUCGACGUGGCGGUUUGGCACCUCGAUGUCGACUCAUCGCAUCCUGGGGCUGAAGAAGGUCCUAAGGGUUUGGCUGUUCGCCAAUUAAAGCGGUACGCGAGUUGGGUUCAAAACGUCGUGAGACAGUUUGGUCCCUAUCUGUUGUGGGCGUAGGAUACUUGAGAGGAGCUGCUUCUAGUACGAGAGGACCGAAGUGGACGAACCAAUGGUGUUCCGGUUGUUCUGCCAAGAGCAUUGCCGGGUAGCUAAGUUCGGAAAGGAUAAGCGUUGAAAGCAUCUAAACGCCAAGCCUCCCUCAAGAUAAGGUAUCCCAAUGAGACACCAUGUAGACUACGUGGUAGAUAGGUUGGGUGUGUAAGCACAGCAAUGUGUUGAGCUAACCAAUACUAAUUAGUCCAACGGCUUGACCAC